CUUGCGGGAAGUCUGUGAUAUAAAACAACCCCCAGGAAACGAAACGAACACUCUUUUUGGCGAGAGUGAGAGUAUUCGUAGGACAUCCCCGACAAACGACAAUUCGGAAAUGGAUGCCAAAGCUUGUCAGAAGGUGAUUCGUUUCUGGCGAAUUAUAACACCGAAAAGAUGUCAUUGAGUAUAUAAAAUCGGAUAAAUCUGAUGUAAAACCCACCAAGCGGUUGGAAAACCCCCAACAGAGCACCUACUUUACAUUGGAAGACAUCCCAAUGAGUGAGUGGCAAACCAUAAUGGAGGUUCCCGAUGUAUCAAGUAUCAAAACGGAAGCGUCGGACAAUCAAAGUAUUAAAUUAGAGGAAAUGGGAAAAAUUGAAGCGAGGUUCCUCGAGGAAAUUCCGGAUUGGAAGCCGAAAGCCAUUGCGUUGCGUACUGCCUCAAACAAACCGAGUGAGGUGUCUGAGGAGAAUGCAAAGAAAGCAGCCAAGCUGCUGUCUGAUAUCCAGGCCGCAAGUGAUACUCAGUUCCUUCAAGAAAUUACUUUAAGCCAAUGGCCAGGCAUGGAUGUCCCAGAAGCCAUCUCAGAGGUUGUCGGCUUCCGAACAGCGUCAAACAAACUAAUUGAGAUUGCUGAGGAGAUGAAAAAGAGAGGAGCCAUGCUGCUGGCUGAUGUCGAAUUCGGAGAAACGGAUCCACCGAAACAUACACGUGAAAUCCGAGAUAAGGAAUGCUUCU